rnacentral:rRNA from 1 species
CUACGGGGCGCUGCAGUGAGGAAUAUUGCACAAUGGGGGAAACCCUGAUGCAGCAACGCCGCGUGGAGGAUGACGCAUUUCGGUGUGUAAACUCCUUUUAUAUGUCAAGAAAAUGACGGUAGCAUAUGAAUAAGCACCGGCUAACUCCGUGCCAGCAGCCGCGGUAAUACGGAGGGUGCAAGCGUUACUCGGAAUCACUGGGCGUAAAGGGCGCGUAGGCUGGUUGGUAAGUCAGGUGUGAAAUCCUACAGCUUAACUGUAGAACUGCACUUGAAACUACCAACCUAGAGUAUGGGAGGGGGAGAUGGAAUUAGUGGUGUAGGGGUAAAAUCCGUAGAUAUCACUAGGAAUACCGAAAGCGAAGGCGAUCUCCUGGAACAUAACUGACGCUAAGGCGUGAAAGCGUGGGGAGCAAACAGGAUUAGAUACCCCUGUAGUC